UACGGAGGAUCCAAGCGUUAUCCGGAUUUAUUGGGGUUUAAAGGGUGCGUAGGCGGCUUAUUAAGUCAGGGGGUGAAAGACGGUGGCUCAACCAUCGCAGUGCCCUUGAUACUGAUGAGCUUGAAUACACUAGAGGUAGGCGGAAUGUGACAAGUAGCGGUGAAAUGCAUAGAUAUGUCACAGAACACCGAUUGCGAAGGCAGCUUACUAUGGUGUCAUUGACGCUGAGGCACGAAAGCGUGGGGAUCAAACAGG
rnacentral:rRNA from 1 species